rnacentral:rRNA from 1 species
AAUGAACGUUGGCGGCGUGGAUUAGGCAUGCAAGUCGUGCGAGAAUCGUAGCAAUACGAGGACAGCGGCGAAAGGGAGAGGAACACGUGGAUACCUACCCUCGGGAUCGGGAUAGCUGCGGGAAACUGCAGGUAAUACCGAAUAACAUCUUCGGAUCAAAGGUGUGAUUCCGCCCGGGGACGGGUCCGCGUCCUAUUAGCUAGUUGGUGGGGUAACGGCCUACCAAGGCAAAGAUGGGUACGGGGUGUGAGAGCAUGCCCCCGCUCACUGGGACUGAGAUACUGCCCAGACACCUACGGGUGGCUGCAGUCGAGAAUCUUCGGCAAUGGGCGCAAGCCUGACCGAGCGACGCCGCGUACGGGAUGAAGGCCUUCGGGUUGUAAACCGUUGUCAGUGGGGAGGAAAUGUCGGUGGGUUCUCCCAUCGAUUUGACCUAUCCGCAGAGGAAGGACGGGCUAAGUUCGUGCCAGCAGCCGCCGCAGUAA